CGCCAGCUGGGACGGGGGCGAGUUCGGACACCUGGGGGCCACCGAGUGGCUGGAGGGCUACCCCGGCCUGCUGCACACCAAAGUCGCCGCCUACAUCAGCCUGGACCGGGCCGUGCUGGGCGCCGAUCGCUUGGUGGUCCGGGCCAGCCCCACCCUGGGGACCCUGGUGGAGAGCGCGCUGGAGCAGGUGG